UAUUAUCAAAGGCCAAGGUGGACAGUCAGCUAAUUGCCUCCAUUCAGAUGCAAAUUGCACUUUCGCCUGGCUCGACGGAGAUGGGAAAAAAAAAAACUGUGCCACUGCGGGGUGAGAAAAUUGGCGCUCGAGUUUGGACGCUCCAGGCCAGAGCGGGGAGACACAGCGAGCCGCGAGUUGACGGGGAAAUCACCGCGGCCCGCUCUGUGCGGACGCACGUUGAGCGUCGUUGGCGCCACACGUAUCGAACCGCUCUAAUGGAAGGCGCGGCCUGCCACGGCUCCCGGCACAGCAGCGCAGCCGUGCCGACCGCUCUCAGCGCCCGCCGCCGCCGCCGCCUUCACCCCCCUGGCCUCACCCGCAGCCGCCUUGGCGUGAAGCCAUCGUCCUCUCUGGCCAGAAUCAUCGGCGGCUGCCAACCCAAACGUCGUGGAUGCCCGCUGCCAGUCCGUUACCUGCUCACCCGCCACCGCUGUCCCCCGACGCGCCGGGCUGCAGCCUCGGCCCAACAAGCGAGGGCCACCCGAGCAGGAGGGAUGGGGCUUCAGAGGCACCCCGAGCCGCCACCACCACCCCCGCACAGCAGCAGCAGCAGCAGCCGCGAGUGUUCAAGCUUAAUGCACUCUGGCGUCAAGCCUGACCAUCCGUCGUGCAUUCGCAAGACGCCGAGGGAGACCAAGCAUGCAUGUCCUGCCUUCGCUCACUCGAGAUGUACUGCUUGUGGCCGCCGCCACUUGGAUGCUAAAUAAAUAAAUAAAGUACA